rnacentral:lncRNA from 1 species
AUGGCCAGAGUAGCUUGCAGUGCUGAUCAAACAGUAUAGACACAUUUGGAGUCUGAUCAGGAGUAGUUCUUCGAUCUGAGCUAGGUUUUAGGGCUUUAAAUAGCUCUAUGGGUGAACAAAAUCAGGAGGUCGUGAUAGAGAGCCAUGAGGGAUGAGAGCAUCAGUCGAGGGAAGCUAUGACAGCAAUCGAGAGGAGUUCGACGGGCACCGAG